AACGAACGUUGGCGGCGUGGAUUAGGCAUGCAAGUCGAGCGAAUCCCAGCAAUGGGGGAAGCGGCGAAAGGGGCAGUAAGGCAUGGGUAACCUACCCUGGGGACUGGGAUAGCCCUUCGAGAGAAAGGGUAAUACCGGGCGACGUGCCGAGGAGGCGUCUCUUUGUCACCAAAUGAAUUUCGCCCUGGGAGGGGCCCAUGUGAUAUUAGCUAGUUGGUGGGGUAACGGCCCACCAAGGCGAAGAUGUCUAGCGGGUGUGAGAGCACGACCCGCGCCACUGGCACUGAGACACUGGCCAGACACCUACGGGUGGCUGCAGUCGAGGAUCUUCGGCAAUGGGCGCAAGCCUGACCGAGCGAUGCCGCGUGUGCGAUGAAGGCCUCCGGGUUGUAAAGCACUGUCGAGAGGGAGAAAAGCGAAAGCUUGAUCUAUCUCUGGAGGAAGCACGGGCUAAGUUCGUGCCAGCAGCCGCCGUAACAC
rnacentral:rRNA from 1 species